rnacentral:lncRNA from 1 species
GACUGAUCAGGAAACUUCCUGACUUGCCAAAACAAUUGAAUCUGACUCUGCUGCCCGACACGAUGGCUGUGCAAACAUAAGUCAUUUCCCCUCCCCAUUUAUCCAAAGGUCAAUCGACCAUGAAAAAUACACUGGAAGAUAACUAAGAAGAAUUUAAUCAGAAAACUGUGAAUUUGGAACUGAAUGUAGUAACUGAAAACAUCUUGAAGUUGUCUGUCUUUGAGGAAGGAGUGGGUACAUUUUCAUUUAUAUAUGGGAUAGUUCUCUUUCUUAAGAAAGUAAUAUUUCUGGAAUUUAUGAAAAUAAGGGUUCAGGAAUGCACAGGGCAGCCAAGGGGUGGAAUGUAGUGGUGAGAGCACAUCUAUUUUCUUUGGGUCUACUAAUUCCCCUCCCCAUUUCUAUGUGUUCACACUGGGAUUGUCCAUCAUGAUGGACCAUCAUGAUGAUGGACCAUCCCAAUGUGAUUGUCCGCCCUCAUUAGUUACAAGGUGUUUCAGUUAUCCAUUGCUGUGUAACAGAUGACACCAAAACUUAGUGGCUUAAAACAACCAUAACGCAUUAUAUCCCAUGAUUUGUGGGUUGGCUGGAUUAGCUUGGCCCUGCUGCUGUUCUGUGUGAUUGUUGUGGUACAUUCUGCAGGUAACUCAUCUGCUGGGAUAUAUCCAGGAUGGCCCCGAAAGACUAAAAAUGAAAGCUGCAAGGUCUCUGACGACAUAAUCCCAAAAGUUAUACAGUGCCACUUCCACCACAUUCUAUUGGUCAAAAUGAAUCAAAAGGCCAGCUCAGAUUCAAGAGGAGAAACAUAGACUGUGCCUCCCUCUUAAGGAGAGGAGCAGUACGCAUAGACAAGGAUGAGAGAAUGUUGGUAGAUCUCUUUGCUGAUGAUGUAUUACACUUCACCCUGGCUACAAAUAUUUAUGUCUCUCAUGUGUACAAAAUACUCUCAGACCCUUGCAAGAUCCCUGAAGUCUCAUCCAAUCAUGGCAUAAGGCUGCUCCAAGUCCAAAAUCUCAUCAUGUAAUGAGGUCUAGGUGCAGAUUAAACUUCUUAGGUGUGAUUUCUUGAAUGUAAUGCCUUGGGUGCAACACCACUUGAUCCAGUGGCCUGGGCACUAAAAAAAAAAAAUGAUCCUCUGCAUAAACACUCAAUAUGCAAUGAUAAGACAGGACCAAAGAGCUGCAUUUGAUACUUGUGUUUAUGAAUGGGAAAGGAGGAAGAAUGGGAAGCACAAAGCCAUCAUUAGCCACUCUGAAAUUUAGCCAGGCAUAUGUAACUUGUACCCUAAACUUAGUUGCUUAAAAGAGAAAACUAUAACAAUUUAUUCUUUGUUGAUGAUUCUAUACAUUGGCUGGGUUUUGCUGGAUGGUUCUGCUCCAUGAGCCGUUGGCUGGUGUCACUCAGAUAGCUGCAGGACUAGCUUCAUGAGCAUGUGACCAGGGCAUUUUAAGGGCCCUGUACUUAAAGGGCCUCAAGAUUGAGGUUUAAAGCUUUGUGGUCACUAUCUUAAAAUAGUGAUCACAUUUAUCUUUGAAUUUGUGUUUCGUAAAUAAUAGGACAACUGAAUAUUCACAGAGGGCUUGGAACAUGUGGCCCUGCUUCCCACUGUAUCACUCCUGUCUCCCCACCACAUCCCCAGACAGGAUUUUUAGCCACCUUCUCCAUGUACCUUGAUGUCCUGGGCUCCACCUAGCAUUCCUCUCUUGGCUUCUGCCCCAUGACCACUGUUGCCCUCCACCUGGGAUGGUGACCAGGUUGGGUCAGCAAGGGGAAAGUCUGUUUUCUGCCACCACCCUCUACUCUCUAGUGUUGGAGGGACCCAGGCACAGGGUGUUGGGA